GCUGGCCGUUCUGGUAAAAAGUUAGUAUGGAAAGAAGCAAAACCUAUGGGCCACACAGGGACUCUGGGCCUGUUUGGAGUU